rnacentral:rRNA from 1 species
UACAUGGGGUGCAAACGUUGCUCGGAAUUAUUGGGCGUAAAGCGCACGUAGGCGGUUUCGUUAAGUCGGAUGUGAAAGCCCUCGGCUCAACUGAGGAAGUGCACCCGAAACUGGCGAGCUUGAGUACGAAAGAGGAUCGCGGAAUUCCCGGUGUAGAGGUGAAAUGCGCAGAUAUCAGGAGGAACACCGGUGGCGAAGGCGGGUCUCUGGGCAACACUGACGCUGGAGGAGCGAAAGCCGUGGGGAGC